rnacentral:rRNA from 1 species
UACGGAGGAGGCAAGCGUUGUCCGGAAUUAUUGGGCGUAAAGCGUCCGCAGGUGGCACUUCAAGUCUGUCGUCAAAGACUGGGGCUUAACCCUGGAAAGGCGGUGGAAACUGAAGCGCUAGAGUGCGGUAGGGGUAGAGGGAAUUCCCGGUGUAGCGGUGAAAUGCGUAGAGAUCGGGAAGAACAUCGGUGGCGAAAGCGCUCUACUGGACCGCAACUGACACUCAGGGACGAAAGCUAGGGGAGCGAAUGGG